GGAUCUUUGAGAGCGGCGUACGGGUGCGUAACACGUGUGCAACCUGCCUUUAUCAGGGAGAUAGCCUUUCGAAAGGAAGAUUAAUAUCCCAUAAUAUUUUGAGUGGCAUCACUUAAAAUUGAAAGCUCCGGCGGAUAAAGAUGGGCACGCGCAAGAUUAGAUAGUUGGCGGGGUAACGGCCCACCAAGUCCAUGAUCUUUAGGGGGCCUGAGAGGGUGAUCCCCCACACUGGUACUGAGACACGGACCAGACUCCUACGGGAGGCAGCAGUGAGGAAUAUUGGACAAUGGGUUAGCGCCUGAUCCAGCCAUCCCGCGUGAAGGACGACGGCCCUAUGGGUUGUAAACUUCUUUUGUAUAGGGAUAAACCUACCCUCGUGAGGGUAGCUGAAGGUACUAUACGAAUAAGCACCGGCUAACUCCGUGCCAGCAGCCGCGGUAAUACGGAGGGUGCAAGCGUUAUCCGGAUUUAUUGGGUUUAAAGGGUCCGUAGGCUGACUCGUAAGUCAGUGGUGAAAUCUCAUAGCUUAACUAUGAAACUGCCAUUGAUACUGCGGGUCUUGAGUAAGGUAGAGGUAGCUGGAAUAAGUAGUGUAGCGGUGAAAUGCAUAGAUAUUACUUAGAACACCAAUUGCGAAGGCAGGUUACCAUGUCUUAACUGACGCUGAUGGACGAAAGCGUGGGUAGCGAACAGGAUUAGAUACCCUGGUAGUCCACGCCGUAAACGAUGCUAACUCGUUUUUGGGGCUUCGGCUUCAGAG
rnacentral:rRNA from 1 species